rnacentral:rRNA from 1 species
UUAAUGUCUUGUAAUUGGAAUGAUGGGAAUUUAAACCUCUUCCAGAGUAUCAAUUGGAGGGCAAGUCUGGUGCCAGCAGCCGCGGUAAUUCCAGCUCCAAUAGCGUAUAUUAAAAUUGUUGCAGUUAAAAAGCUCGUAGUUGAAUUUCUGCUGCAUUUCAUUUCUCUUUCUGAGUUUGUUUUUGCGGCUUAUUUCGGUUUGAUUUUUUCUUUCCGGAUGAUUACUUUGAGAAAAUUAGAGUGCUCAAAGCAGGCUUUUGCCUUGAAUAGUUUAGCAUGGAAUAAUAAAGUAGGACUUUGGUUCUAUUUUGUUGGUUUUAGGUACCAAAGUAAUGGUUAAUAGGAACAGUUGGGGGCAUUCGUAUUUAACUGUCAGAGGAAAAUUCUUAGA